AAGUAUAAGAAUUUGGUGUUGGUACAUCUCAACUGGUAUACUGUUAAACCACCUCGAAAGGGAAGGUGAAAAAGUUCAGAAUUCAAGUACCAAUAGAGGAAAUACUAGUUAGGCUUUGGUUUGUCUAUCAAAACUCAAAGCAAGUGUAAGUUUCAUAUCAACAAACU
rnacentral:sRNA from 1 species